UGAGUUUUGAUCCUGGCUCAGAACGAACGCUGGCGGCAUGCCUAACACAUGCAAGUCGAACGCCCUCUUUUAGAGGGAGUGGCGCACGGGUGCGUAACGCGUGGGAACCUGCCCUUAGGUUCGGAAUAACUCAGAGAAAUUUGAGCUAAUACCGGAUAAUGUCUUCGGACCAAAGAUUUAUCGCCUUUGGAUGGGCCCGCGUAGGAUUAGAUAGUUGGUGGGGUAAUGGCCUACCAAGUCGACGAUCCUUAGCUGGUCUGAGAGGAUGAUCAGCCACACUGGGACUGAGACACGGCCCAGACUCCUACGGGAGGCAGCAGUGGGGAAUAUUGGACAAUGGGCGAAAGCCUGAUCCAGCAAUGCCGCGUGAGUGAUGAAGGCCUUAGGGUUGUAAAGCUCUUUUACCAGGGAUGAUAAUGACAGUACCUGGAGAAUAAGCUCCGGCUAACUCCGUGCCAGCAGCCGCGGUAAUACGGAGGGAGCUAGCGUUGUUCGGAAUUACUGGGCGUAAAGCGCACGUAGGCGGCUUUUCAAGUCAGGGGUGAAAUCCCGGGGCUCAACCCCGGAACUGCCCUUGAAACUGGAUGGCUAGAAUACUGGAGAGGUGAGUGGAAUUCCGAGUGUAGAGGUGAAAUUCGUAGAUAUUCGGAAGAACACCAGUGGCGAAGGCGACUCACUGGACAGUUAUUGACGCUGAGGUGCGAA
rnacentral:rRNA from 1 species